UCUCUGGUGGUCCAGUGGUUGGAACUCUGUGCUCUCAAUGCAGGGGACCCGAGUUCGAUCCCUGGUCAGGGAA
rnacentral:tRNA from 1 species